rnacentral:lncRNA from 1 species
AUUUGAUUAGGUUGUGAAGGUGCUUUGAUCAAAGGUCAUCCCGCUGUUCUGCAUUGUCUGACGUACAUGCAAAGUAGAGGAUCUGUACUUUCAGGCCUCCGCAAAGAUUGAAUCUAAAUUUUAGAGAUUUGAUCUCUAGUUUAUCUACUAUUUAGGUAUGAAUUUGAUCCUUAUUCAUAUAGUUUGUAAAAAAUUUUAAGAUGCAAUCUGAGUUAUCUCGAGAGAAACACAUUCCCUCACCUUCAAUUGGUAUCAGAGCGGGGCUUUGAUACAUGGAUGCAUAACUGAAU